AAUUGAGCCCGUGGCCUUUAUUUUCUUGCGUCUUCUUCAAUACUUUCACUGCCGAAAAGAUCUGUUUCCACUACGUAUUCCACAGUUGAUGAUUGACCUCUGGCAAUGGCUUUAAUAUUUGGUGUAUCUGGGUCGGUGCUGUUCCUCCACGUGAAGGAUUUUCUGAAGUUGGAGAUAAACCCAAGAUUUGAUUGCAGUAGGAACUGAAAAUUCUGGGUUUGGUUGGUGGCUCAACAUGUUGGUUUGCAGGAAAAAUUCGUCUGGAGCUUGGUUGCCAACUGGGUUGUGCUUGGAGCUUUCACCGGCAACUGGUAAUGGGUUGAGCGAUUGGAGAGUAAGCCAUUCACCUGGAACAAUUAGAUGACUUCCUGGCUUUUUCCUUGGUACCAGACAACUCUCAUUAUGACCUCUUGUAAGUAUUUGUUUUCCUUUCAAAACGGGCUGAGUGAAUUCUUCUGAUUUU